rnacentral:rRNA from 1 species
CCUACGGGAGGCAGCAGUCGAGAAUCAUUCACAAUGGGGGAAACCCUGAUGGUGCGACGCCGCGUGGGGGAAUGAAGGUCUUCGGAUUGUAAACCCCUGUCAUGUGGGAGCAAAUUAAAAAGAUAGUACCACAAGAGGAAGAGACGGCUAACUCUGUGCCAGCAGCCGCGGUAAUACAGAGGUCUCAAGCGUUGUUAGGAAUCACUGGGCGUAAAGCGUGCGUAGGCUGUUUCGUAAGUCGUGUGUGAAAGGCGCGGGCUCAACCCGCGGACGGCACAUGAUACUGCGAGACUAGAGUAAGGGAGGGGGAACCGGAAUUCUCGGUGUAGCAGUGAAAUGCGUAGAUAUCGAGAGGAACACUCGUGGCGAAGGCGGGUUCCUGGACAUUAACUGACGCUGAGGCACGAAGGCCAGGGGAGCGAAAGGGAUUAGAUACCCGAGUAGUC